rnacentral:rRNA from 1 species
UACGAAGGGGGCUAGCGUUGUUCGGAAUUACUGGGCGUAAAGCGAACGUAGGCGGUGUUCCAUGUCAGAGGUGAAAGCCUGGGGCUCAACUCCAGAAUUGCCUUUGAAACGGGGACGCUUGAGUCCGAGAGAGGAUGGCGGAAUUCCGUAGUGUAGAGGUGAAAUUCGUAGAUAUUAGGAAGAACACCGGUGGCGAAGGCGGCCAUCUGGCUCGGUACUGACGCUCAGGUUCGAAAGCGUGGGGAGCAAACAGGG